GGGCCGCUAGCUCAAUGGCAGAGCAACGGACUUUUAAUCCGCAGGUUCUGGGUUCGAGUCCCAGGCGGCCCA
rnacentral:tRNA from 1 species